UCCUCAGCUGCACAGCAAGCUGGAGGCUGGUGGUGGACUACACGACUUAUAUAAAGCACCAUCUCUCUCCUUCAGGCUAGCUCUGGUGGCACACACCGGUGAGCCCAGGACUCAGGAGUUUAAGGUGUUGUUUAGACAGAUGUUUGAAUCCUGAAAUAUUGAUGACAAACAGUUGGGGCUGGGAUUGCUAGAUCUGGCAUUUGAGCUACUGUUUGAACACCUGGGGAAAGAGAGGAGGAGAGUCACCUGAAGUGCCGUCAGCAAACACCCAUCAGCUGCAGUGGCACGACCUAGCAGAAACAGCCGCUCAGCCAAGUCGCCAAAGUGAAGAUCAGCAAAGACAGAGACCACGAAGCAUCGCAAAGCUAGCUGUGCAAGCCUGCCGCCAUUGUCCACUGGGUCCUAUUUAUACAUUCUCCAAGCAUCACGUGACUUCUUGCCUCACCACCUGAGUCUGUCUUAGCAAAGCUCCACGAGAAUCUGUAUCAGCUGACAUCACUCUGCCAGUUGGCCCAAGUCCUCAGAAGACGCAAGAAACCACCAGAACACCACCAGAAGUUUUUUUGGAAAUUGAUCCUCGCCACCUACAAGGCAAGCAAAGCAUGAGGCUUGUCAAGUGUUUUCCCUUCUUUCUUUCCUUUUUCAAC
rnacentral:sRNA from 1 species